rnacentral:rRNA from 1 species
GACAGAGGGUGCAAGCGUUGUUCGGAAUCAUUGGGCGUAAAGCGCACGUAGGCGGCUUUGUAAGUCAGAUGUGAAAGCCCUGGGCUCAACCCAGGAAGUGCAUCUGAUACUGCAUCGCUGGAGUCUCGGAGAGGGUGGUGGAAUUCCUGGUGUAGAGGUGAAAUUCGUAGAUAUCAGGAGGAACACCAGUGGCGAAGGCGGCCACCUGGACGAAGACUGACGCUGAGGUGCGAAAGCGUGGGGAGCAAACAGG